rnacentral:lncRNA from 1 species
UUUUAAGAUAAUUAUUUAAAAAUACAUCCUAUUGAAGAAUCAUCUAUCCACAAAUAUUCUUGUUGUCCUAAUUUCAAAAUCACAAACACAAAUCUAUAAUAUUUCUCUAAAAAUGAUAACUUUCCAAAAAUAGCAGUUUUUAAGAAAAUAAUUUAAAAAUACAACAUAUUGAUGAAAAUUUCUUAAAGAGUAUUCAUAUUUACACAAAUAGUCUAGUUAUCCUAAUUUUUAAAUCACAAACCCUAAUCUACAAUAUUUAUCUAUAAAAUUAACACUUUCCAAAAUAGCAGUUUUAAAGAAAAUUAUUUAAAAAUACAACCUAUUGAUGAAAAAAUCCGAAAUAAUCAUCUAUGCACAAAUAUUCUUGUUGUCCUAAUAUCUAAAUCACAAACCCAACUCUAUAAUAAUUCUCUAAAAAUGAAAACUUUCCAAAAAUAGCAGUUUUUAAGAAAAUUAUUUAAAAAUACAACCUAUUGAUGAAAAACUCCGAAAGAAUACUCAUUUAUCCACAAAUAUUGUUUUUGUCCUGAUUUAUAAAUCACAAACCCAAAUCUAAAUUAUUUCUCUAAAAAAUGAAUUUUUUUAAAAAUAGCAGUUUUUAAGAAAAUUAUUUAAAAUACAACAUAUUGAUGAAAAAUUCUUAAAGAUUAUUCAUCUGUCCACAAAUAAUCUAGUUGUCCUAAUUUCUAAAUCCCAAACAUAAAUCUAUAAUAUUUCACUAAAAAAUAAAAACUUUCUAAAAAUAGCAGUUUUUAAGAAAAUUAUUUUAAAAUACUACAUAUUGAUAAAAAUUCUUAAAGAAUAUUCAUCUGUCCACAAAUAGUAUAGUUGUCCUAAAAUUUAAAUCAAAAACCCAAAUCUACAAUAUUUUUCUAAAAAAUGAAAACUUUCCAAAAAUACCAGUUUUUAAGAAAAUUAUUUAAAAAUACAACACAAUGAUGAAAAAUUC